GGGACGGAGAUCGGAAUAUUCAGAACCCGGAGCAGGUGGUGAUCAUGGAGACCGACUUGGCCGACAUGCCCGAGAAGAGAGCUCGGUCUUCCCAGGAUUCUCCCUUUUCCCAAGAGCGGAGCACAGAAGAGGGAGAAGUGCCAGCUCUGCACCUCACAGCCAGAUCCCAGGCAUCAGUGACAUUCAAGGACGUGGCCAUGGAUUUUACCCCAGAGGAGUGGGGGAAGUUGGAUCCUGCACAAAGGGAGGUGAUGCUGGAGAACUAUAGGAACCUGGUCUCGCUUUGGCUUCCAGUUUCCAAACCUGAGAACUACAAUUUGGAGAAUGGAAAAGAACCAUUGAUGCUUGAGAGAAAAGCCCCCAAAAGCAGCUAUUCGGACCUGGAGACUAAACCUGAGGGCAAAGAUUCAACUUCAGUGCAAGAUAUUUCCAAAGAAGAAUCAUGUCAGACUGUAAUAAUAGACAGACUGACAAGGAAUAGUGUCUAUGACUCCAACUUGGAAACAACUCUUGAAUGUGAAAAUUGGUUAGAGAAUCAGCAAGGAAAUCAGGAGAGACACUUGAGAGAAAUGUUCACCCACGUGAAUUCACUCCCUGAAGAAAGAGCUCAUGAACAUGAUGUAUACUGGAAAAACUUGAGUCAGAAGUCUGUUCUUCUCACUCAAGACAGAGCUCCCAAAGGAUCCUAUGCCUUCCAUACACUUGAAAAAAGGUUGAAACAGAAAUCAAACUUAAUGAAAAAGCAAAGAACCUGUAAAGAAAAAAAGCCUCAUAAAUGCAACGAUUGUGGUGAACUCUUCACGUACCAUUCAGUGCUUAUUCGACACCAGAGAGUGCAUACUGGAGAGAAGCCCUAUAGCUGCAGUGAAUGUGGGAAAUCUUUUAGCCACAGAGCUAAUUUAACUAAACAUCAGAGAACUCAUACUAGAAUUCUGUUUGAAUGCAGUGAAUGCAAGAAAGCCUUCACAGAAAGCUCAUCCCUUGCGAUACAUCAGCGAAUUCACGUUGGAGAGAGACCGUAUGAAUGCAGUGAAUGUGGAAAAGGUUUUAAUCGAAGUACACAUCUUGUGCAGCAUCAGUUGAUUCAUACUGGAGUGAAGCCUUAUGAAUGUAAUGAAUGUGAUAAAGCUUUCAUUCAUUCAUCAGCUCUCAUUAAACAUCAACGAACUCAUACUGGAGAGAAACCCUAUAAAUGUCAGGAAUGUGGGAAAGCCUUCAGCCAUUGUUCAUCCCUUACUAAACAUCAGAGAGUUCAUACUGGAGAAAAACCAUAUGAAUGUAGCGAAUGUGGAAAAACCUUUAGUCAGAGCACACAUCUUGUUCAGCAUCAGAGAAUUCAUACUGGAGAGAAACCCUACGAGUGUAACGAAUGUGGGAAAACCUUCAGCCGGAGCUCAAAUUUUGCUAAACAUCAAAGAAUUCAUAUUGGAAAGAAACCAUACAAAUGUAAUGAAUGUGGGAAAGCCUUUAUUCAUUCAUCAGCUCUUAUUCAACACCAGAGAACUCAUACUGGGGAGAAGCCCUACAGAUGUGAUGAAUGUGGGAAAAGCUUUAAGUGCAGUUCAUCCCUCAUCAGACAUCAAAGAAUUCAUACUGAAGAGCAACUCUGAAAAAUUACUGAAUGUGAAGAAAUGUAAGUUGGCUUUAUCACUGUGUUAAAAUACCUGAGUGUUUAGGUGGAACACCCAUAAAAUGCUGCUUGAGGACCAAUUCUUUAUGCGUCUACUUUUACUUGCAUAACACGUAGUUUUGAGCCAUAGACACAAUGUUCCUUAUAUCCAUUGAUUUGAUCAUUACGAAAGCUUCUGGCCAGGGAUCUCAAAUUUUGAUCUCCAUCCCCCACCACCACUACCAAAUAACCCUUUCAUGGAAAUUCAAGAAAUCCUUGGGAGUGGAUAGCAAUCUGAUCCUUGUGAAGUCUGGUUCCUCCCUCUCUUUGUCACAUGAAAGCCUUGUUACAGCAUCUCACUCGGGUCCUAGUCAAGAAGGAGAACUUGGGACUCUGAAGCAACUCUGGGACACGAGAACACACCUUCCUGUCAAAUAUGGAAAAUAGUUCACAGGACAGUAACUCACUGGAGGAUAACCGCUUCCCUCUAUGAAGAAGAGGUUGCCGUUUCUCUGGCUUUCAUGUCUACCUACAUUUUUUGUUGUUAUUGUUCUCCCUAUAUGUUUAUUGGGCUAUAUCCCAGAGCCCUAAAAAAGGUAGAAAAGGCAUGAAACCACAUGGUAAAUUACAUGGGUGACCAAAAACCAGGGAUGAGAUUGGAAACACAGGAAGCAAAAGUUCAAAUAUUUAGCAAAACAGUAUACGAAUGUCAGUUUUUAUUGUUACUCUAUGAAAAGAAGAGUAUUGAAAAGAUAGAAGGGAAAUAGUUACAGGUUUCUUCUUUCUCUUCUCCUAAAUUCUAUCCUUUAUGAACAUUCAACAACCAGUCCAUUCUCUUGCCUUCACAUUAUCUCUGUUAUUUCUUAAAAUUCCUUCUCCGUAAACCUUAGUUGUAUUAUUGAGAAGUAGAGGAAGAGAGUUUAGAGCAAGAUCAUUAAGGAUGAAUGGGUUAAAUCCAGCCGUGAUGGAAAUUAAAACAAUAGGAAAUGGGGCUGAAAGGACUGGGAGAGGUUUUGGAAAGAACAAAAAACAUGUCGGGGGGGGUGGAGGUGGGUGGGAAGGCUCAGGGACUGAGGUCAGGGUAGGACGCUGACAGGAACAAGGUAAAAGGAAAGGUGCUCACUCAGCUCUCUUCACCUUAAUACUCAGUAUUCAUGUUCAAAAGUAGGAACUGACAGACUAUGACCUGGACCCACGACCAAGUCCGGCCUUCUGCCUUUAUCUCUAAAUGAUGUUUAGUUGGAUCUUGACCACACUCGUUCAUUUACGUUUAUUUGUGCUACAACGUCAGAGUCGAGUAGUUGCAGCAGACAUUAUGUCCCCCAAAGCCUAAAAUACUUGAUAUUUCUCUAUGUGCCAAAUGCUUUUGAGUGAAGAAAAAUUCAUCAUUUGGGGGCCAAAAUUUGACUCACAAAAUAAGAUCACUUGGACUUAGCUGAGUUUGAAUUCUACCACCUCCAAUUAGCAUUUAUUUGAUCUUACUACUUGCUGGCUCUAAGUGUCAGGGUCUUCAUCUAUAAGAUGGAAAUAAAUCAUCCCUCUCUUGUAAGGUUGUGAGGAUUAAAUAAGACAAAGCAUGUCAAAGACCUCACAAUAAAUUAAACAGCUAGUCUCUAUAUGUAUAUGUUUGUAAAUAUAUACAUAUAUAUGUAUUUUAAUGAAACAUCAGUCCAUUUGGGCUGCUACAACGAAAUAACUCACCACAGACUGAGUGGCUUUAUAAAGAUUCUCACAGUUCUGGAGACUGAGGAGUCCCAAGAACAAGGCACCACCAGGUUCAGUGUGUGGUGAGGGCCUGUUUUCUGGUUCAGGAACCACCAUCUUUUUGUUAGGUCUUCACAUGGUAAAAGGGUAAGGGGGCUCUGGAGCCUCUUUUACAAGGGAAACUAACCCUUUUCCUGAGAAUUCUGCCCUCAUGACCUAUUCACCUUCCAAAGGCCCCACCUCCUAGUACCAUCACACUGGGGAUUAGGUUUCAAGAUAAAUUUGGGGAGGUACAAACUCAACCUGCAAUAAGUGGCUAAGCAUCAAUCAGGUAGAAAUUAAGAAUGAAUGUGUCGGAAACCUGGGUGGCUCAGUCGUUAAGCAUCUGCCUUCGGCUCGGGUCAUGAUCCCAGGGUCCUGGGAUCGAGUCCCACAUUGGGCUCCCUGCUCAGCGGGAAGCCUGCUUCUCCCUCUCCCACUCCCUCUGCUUGUGUUCCCUCUCUAGCUAUCUCUCUCUCUCUGUGUCAAAUGAAUAAAUAAAAUCUUAAAAAAAAAAAGAAUGUGUCUUCCGCACCUUUUGUUUACCGAUCAAGAACUGUCACCAUCCUACUGUCGAGCGUAUCAUAGAGAAGGGGCUUCUCUUUCUGCUCUUGCUUCCAUCUGGUGCUGCUCCCUACACAGCUUCCUUGAGACCCUGGGAAAUCAGCUUUUUUUUCCCAAGUUCCCUUAACCAGGAACUAUCUGAUAGUUUCAGAGACUCAAGUUUGUAAUUUAAUUGCAGUUUAAAUAGCGUUAAGAGACUUGCUCUGAGUUAGUUUUACUGGGAACCCUGGCCCUUGACAUUUCAAUAUUUGUUCUGUUUAUGUUUGAUGUUCAAUGUGACUAUUUGUACUCCGACAUGAAUUUUGGAAGUUUUAAUGUUCCGCUUUUCAAAUGUUUUUGGUUACCUAUAAACUAAAUUUGACUGCUUUUAUUGGUCCACUGUCAAUAAAGAUGUUUAU